AUGAAUGAUAAUGCCAACCCUGACAACCUCUUCGAUGAUGAGUAUUACCUGUUUGCUGGUGAAGGCUCGGUUGCUGAUGACAUGGAGCACGACGUAUUGGAAGACUCAAGUCACAAUACCUAUGUCGACCAUGAUCCCUUGGAUAAUGUGUACUCAAACCUCCCCGAUGGUACACACAUCAUCAAGCACGCCGCGAACUGCGACCACUGCAAGGCCAAGAAGUUUGUCUACGAGGCCUCGAGAUUCUGCUAUCGCAAUGGGCAGAUCAAGCUGAAGCAACCGGAGCCCAUCACGGAGCUAAUGAGGCUUUGGUCUAGCUAG
rnacentral:rRNA from 1 species